UCCUCUCUCUAACGUGACAACAGAUACAUCAGCUAGGAUGCAGUUCAUAAAAACAACAACAAUAAAAAGAGUCAACUUUUACAGAAAAAAAGCGCAUUAUAAGUACUAGGGAAAAGUUUUGUGAAUUCAGGCUAGCUUUUCAAACAUUCAGACCACCCCUAAAAUAGCAGCUACAGUUCACAGGGGCCAGAGCUACACAAAUUCCAGCUCUCCCUAUGUGGAUUUUACUACACGUCCUCCCAUUUAUGCACUCACAGACAUCCAGCAGAAGAAUUACUAUCACUCCAUCUACCCACAGGAAGUCAGAUAUUGGCGUGAAAAAGUGAAGAUGCAGCUGCUGCGGGAAACAAAGCCCUGAAUGUCAAGCUGUUGGUCAUGAAAAGAUUUUCUCCACAACACUGUGGAAAUUUCAGAACAUUGUCAACGAGAGGCAGUUUUAACCUGGGUAAUGGAGGUGUUCUUUUUCCAACUCAGAUCCCACCAUCCCAUUGCAAUCAACUGUUGAGGAAUAACAAAACUCAUGACAAUG